UACGGGGGGGGCGAGCGUUGUCCGAAGUUACUGGGCGUAAAGGGCGCGUAGGCGGGUCGAUAAGUCAGGGGUGAAAUCCCCACGCUCAACGUGGAGGCGCCACCUGAAACUGCCGUGACCGUCGAGCGGAGUAGGGGAGUGUGGAAGUUCCUGGUGUAGCGGUGAAAUGCGCAGAUAUACAGGAGGAACACCAGUGGCGAAGGCGGCACUCUGGGCCGGUACUGACGCUGAGGAGCGAAAGCGUGGGGAGCGAACAGG
rnacentral:rRNA from 1 species